rnacentral:rRNA from 1 species
GAUGAACGCUGGCGGCGUGCCUAAUACAUGCAAGUCGAGCGAACGGACGAGAAGCUUGCUUCUCUGAUGUUAACGGCGGACGGGGGAGUAACACGUGGAUAACCUACCUAUAAGACUGGGAUAACUUCGGGAAACCGUAGCUAAUACCGGAUAAUAUUUUGAACCGCAUGGUUCAAAAGUGAAAGACGGUCUUGCUGUCACUUAUAGAUGGAUCCGCGCUGCAUUAGCUAGUUGGUAAGGUAACGGCUUACCAAGGCAACGAUGCAUAGCCGACCUGAGAGGGGGAUCGGCCACACUGGAACUGAGACACGGUCCAGACUCCUACGGGAGGCAGCAGUAGGGAAUCUUCCGCAAUGGGCGAAAGCCUGACGGAGCAACGCCGCGUGAGUGAUGAAGGUCUUCGGAUCGUAAAACUCUGUUAUUAGGGAAGAACAUAUGUGUAAGUAACUGUGCACAUCUUGACGGUACCUAAUCAGAAAGCCACGGCUAACUACGUG